rnacentral:rRNA from 1 species
UACGUAGGGCGCAAGCGUUAUCCGGAAUUAUUGGGCGUAAAGAGCUCGUAGGCGGUUUGUCGCGUCUGCCGUGAAAGUCCGGGGCUCAACUCCGGAUCUGCGGUGGGUACGGGCAGACUAGAGUGAUGUAGGGGAGACUGGAAUUCCUGGUGUAGCGGUGAAAUGCGCAGAUAUCAGGAGGAACACCGGUGGCGAAGGCGGGUCUCUGAGCCGAUACUGACGCUGAGGAGCGAAAGCGUGGGGAGCGAACAGG